UACAGUAGCCUACAUAAGACAUUCCACAAGGUGCAUUCUAAGGCUUUGGCUGCACGCUUGUUAUUGUCACUACGGCAACGGCAUUAUUUAGAAUGCAUUUACUUUUAAAGGAACUAGGCUACAGUAAAGUCUUGGAUACGGUGCUACUUUGUAGCUUAGGAAUAGUAACUCUUACGGAGAACAAGGCUACUUGUAUAGCUCUCACGGUGCUACUUUGUAGCUUAAUGACACGACUCUUACGGAGAACAAGUCUACCGAGUUAUCCGACAGCCAAGUGGCAUCUGUGAAAUGGGAACGUCUGACUGUAGAACAAAUAAAUGAAAGACAGCAGGUGACUACAAUUGUAAAUGGUCAUCAGUCACUGUACACAGCAGAAGCAACUGCAAGAAC